UAUAAAGAGAGUAUCCUUGGUACC
rnacentral:piRNA from 1 species